UGAACAGAAAAAGUCGUGUGUUUCAAGAAGUCGAUAAUAUUCAAGACUUAAUUUUUUUGUUGCAGAGACAUUUUGGACAAUUGC
ensembl:miRNA mir-8202 miscRNA